UACGUAGGGUGCAAGCGUUGUCCGGAAUUAUUGGGCGUAAAGAGCUCGUAGGCGGUCUGUCGCGUCGGCUGUGAAAUCCCGAGGCUCAACCUCGGGUCUGCAGUCGAUACGGGCAAACUGGAGUGUUGCAGGGGAGACUGGAAUUCCUGGUGUAGCGGUGAAAUGCGCAGAUAUCAGGAGGAACACCGGUGGCGAAGGCGGGUCUCUGGGACGGUACUGACGCUGAGACGCGAAAGCGUGGGGAGCGAACAGG
rnacentral:rRNA from 1 species